rnacentral:rRNA from 1 species
UGGGGAAUAUUGGACAAUGGGCGAAAGCCUGAUCCAGCCAUGCCGCGUGUGUGAAGAAGGUCUUCGGAUUGUAAAGCACUUUAAGUUGGGAGGAAGGGCAGUAAGCGAAUACCUUGCUGUUUUGACGUUACCGACAGAAUAAGCACCGGCUAACUCUGUGCCAGCAGCCGCGGUAAUACAGAGGGUGCAAGCGUUAAUCGGAAUUACUGGGCGUAAAGCGCGCGUAGGUGGUUCGUUAAGUUGAAUGUGAAAGCCCCGGGCUCAACCUGGGAACUGCGUCCAAAACUGGCGAGCUAGAGUAGGGCAGAGUGUGGUGGAAUUUCCUGUGUAGCGGCGAAAUGCGUAGAUAUAGGAAGGAACACCAGUGGCGAAGGCGACCACCUGGGCUCAUACUGACACUGAGGUGCGAAAGCGUGGGGAGCAAACAGG